GCCUUCGUGGUGUAAUGGUCAGCACACUGAGCCGGUAUUUCAGAGGUUCGUGGUUCGAUCCCCGGCGAAGGCA
rfam:Stegodyphus mimosarum contig35940, whole genome shotgun sequence.